UACGAAGGGGGCUAGCGUUGCUCGGAAUUACUGGGCGUAAAGCGUGCGCAGGCGGUUUUGUAAGCCAGAUGUGAAAUCCCCGGGCUUAACCUGGGAAUGGCAUUUGGGACUGCAAGGCUUGAGUGCGGCAGAGGAGACUGGAAUUCCUGGUGUAGCAGCGAAAUGCGCAGAUAUCAGGAGGAACACCGGUGGCGAAGGCGGUUCUCUGGGCCUGUACUGACGCUGAGACGCGAAAGCGUGGGGAGCGAACAGG
rnacentral:rRNA from 1 species